rnacentral:tRNA from 1 species
GCUAGCGUAGCUCAGCAGGCAGAGCACCUCACUUGUAAUGAGGAUGUCGCCAGUUCGAUUCUGGCCGCUAGCUCCA